GGGCCGUUAGCUCAGUUGGUAGAGCAGUUGGCUUUUAACCAAUUGGUCGCUGGUUCGAAUCCAGCACGGCCCA
rfam:Marine gamma proteobacterium HTCC2143 1100111000170, whole genome shotgun sequence.